GUGAGGGGCCCGCGCGGGCCGGGGGCCCCCCGAGCCCCUCGGAGCCCCGGCACUGCCGCCCGCCCACCCGCUUCUCCUCCUUCCUCAGCCCAGCCGGGCGGGAGGAAAGCAAGGGGAAGAACGGGCUCGGUGCGGCCCCGCGGGGAAAGGGAACGGGGGGGUCAGCCCGGCGUCUUGGGGGGGUUCGUCGUCCUCCCCUCACACCCCGCGGGGUUGGCGUGGAGCGGAGGAGCCGCGCUGCAAACCCCAAACUGAUAACGUGGGAGUGUCCAAGGCCAGAUUGGAGCCAUGUGGGAUGGACUGGAAGGUGGAACGAGCUGGAUGGAGGUUCCCAGCCAUCCCAACUCAUUCUGUGUCUGAGUUUUGUGUUCCCACCUCCCGGAUCUGUUUUUAGGAAUGAACGAACACAAUGGUCCACGUGAGCUGAAAAACAAAAGCCUCCAGAAGAUUAUAAUCUUUUUUUACCAUCAAAGCCUGCAGGAGCAGCAUGAAGGGGAAGGACUUGCCUGAAGAAAUUCCUGCUGAUGUCCCACCUGAACCUCCCCUGGCACAGCCUGAGGCCAUUUCCUCGUGUCCUGCCGCUGGAAAACCUUGGCUGAAGAGAAAUUGCCAAAACUCCGGGUUAAUUAUGGCUGUUAGAGAGAUCUUGUCAUUUCCACCUUUUUCCUGGCCAUUCUUCUUUCACUAUGUGUAUGUUGUAAAUAUGUGAGGUACGUUUUUUAUCGGUUAUGUAGGCAGAAAUUGUAUGUCUAUCUAUAUAAAAUAGGUGUAUUAUAUAUAUAAUUAUAUAAUACAUAUUUUAUAUGCAUUAUUUUAUAUUUAUAUUAUGACUUUGUGUUUCUCUUAACACGUUGUAUACGUUAUGAACACGAAUUGUUUGUGUUAGUGGGGAUCGAGCGGAAUUCCCGCUG